rnacentral:rRNA from 1 species
UGGACUGAAGACACCUCGAAGACUACGAGGCUGAUAGGCCGGAUGUGUACGUGCGGCAACGCAUUGAGCUAACCGGUACUAACGUGUCGUGAGGCUUAGCCA